rnacentral:rRNA from 1 species
CGGUUAGACUAAAGAACCUAGUUAUAUUUAUUUGGUAAAAAGAUAGUUAGAUAAAGUGAGUGUUUAGUUUUAAUUAUAAUAUAAUAUUAAGGUAAAAUUUGGAUUAUUUUAUUUUUAUUUAAACUUAUUAUUGAUGCUAUGAAUAUUUUUAAAGAAACUAGGAUUAGAUACCCUAUUAUUUUAGAUUAUAAAUUGAUUUUUUUUUUCUACCAAAGUAUUAUGAAUAUAAAUUUAAAAUUUAAAGAACUUGGCGGUGUCUUAGACUACUUAGGGGAACCUGUUUUUUAAUCGAUAGUCCUCGUUUUACCUUACCUUUUUUUGUUUUCAGUUUGUAUACCGUCGUCGUCAGUUAACUUUAGAAAAAAUAGAAGUUGUCUUUUUAAAUUUUAGUUUUAGAUGUCAGAUCAAGGUGCAGCUUAUAGAAUGGUUAAUAUGGGUUACAAUUAUUAAUUUAUAAUAUGGAUUAUUUUAUGAAAUUAUUUUUUGAAGGAGGACUUAAAAGUAAUUUAAUUUAGAUGUAUUUAAUGAAUAUGGCUCUUGGAUGUGCACACAUCGCCCGGUCAC